AAAAAAUUCAAAGCACCUGAAAAACAGAAACCAAUUAUUGGAAAAAGUGCUCACACCUUACAACUCAUCAUUGUAUAGCUGCUGUACAAAUAUGAAUAUUCUGUUAUCUAGUUUCUAAGAAAAAUGGGACUUGAAGGGGUGAUAAAAACAGAUGGCAAAAAAAUUGCCAUAUAGCCGCCAUUUUAUAGUAAGGAUAUAAAAUACAUUUUCUGUAGGCUAAAACAAUAUGGCUACUGAUCAAUACAUGGAUAUGAUUCUUAAAUGUGCUGCCUUUAUGGCAUCUGAGCAUUUAAAUGGACAAUCCAGGUACACAAAGGCAGCAAUAAAUCAUGGUACCUGAUAAAGCAUUGAAAAGACACAAUCA
rnacentral:lncRNA from 1 species